GGGAAAAAUAUGUCAAAUUUGAUGUGGACUCAGUAAUUUACUGCUGUGGAUGGAUAUCUGACAACAAUGACACAAGUGCAAUUUGCAUGUUACAACGUUAAUUGAGGGUGACCUAGCGCAGUGACAGCAUUUGACCACCAGAUGGAGCAAGAUAAGAUAUCAAGUGAUUUGUAUGCCGGGGCGAAAGGACAAUGCCAGAUUGGAGGCAGAAAAACAGCCGCUCGCCAUUCCUGCUCGCUCAGACGCUGGUGAAAGAUGAGCAACAAGAAGGCAGGUGGAGAGGGAGGGGGAUGGAGGGAUGAGAUGAGAGAUAAGAAGAGAGACCUGCUUGGUAUUCACCUGUCUCUCCGGAUCAAUAAAGAGUGCAGGUGUCUCUCAGUCGUAGUCCCCUGCACCAUCUGUUCCUCCUGCUGAUCAGCUCGCAGCUUCCAUCAGACAGGAGGAUACGUUUGUUUUGGGAGACACGAGAGCACAAAGAGAGGGGGCCCAUCCUUCUAUCCCUGCUUUGAUCCCUCCAUUGAGAGGACCCAGGCGCUCUCUCUCUCUCUCUCAAUGUCCCCCCGGCUUGUGGCUGCCUGGAUGGCUGAAUCUGGGGCUUUGGCGACACGGCACUCCAGCAGAAUGAGCCUAUUGACGAGGCGACAGAUUGGCUUUGAGUGUACCCGAUGGUUAUCCCCUACUUCUCUUGGCUGCCCCCCCUCGUCCUCUUUCAACCAACCAAAGACAAUCCCUGCAUCUCCAUCUUUUUAAUCAAAUUGCCAGUUUGUAGUGGAUUUAAGAGAGUGGCAGAAGCCAUUGUCGGCUAAUCUGUAUCAGAAAGGAGAGCUGAUGUUGAGUGCAGUCCUUUUCUUAGUCAGGAUUAGACUUGGUUAGCCCUCUUUUGGUAACACGUUAGGCUCCUGUAGUAGCUUGGCGGUGAUAGAAAAACUCUUUGAUGGGCUGUAAACCAGCCAGCUGAUUGAAUCAAAGUGUGCAAACAUCAGAGCUGUUCUGAUACACCAAUGAUGAAAAUUCUGUCAUUCUGCCUACAACAAAAAUAAAAAAUU